UCGACUGAAGUUAUUACCAGAGGUUUUCAAUCGACUUGCAUUGUUCAGGAUGAUGGCGCGUUGGUUUUUAUCAGCAAGCGUCGAUAGGAUGAGGCGGGCUCGUGGCGGUGCACCGCCGCUGGCCUGGCGUGAGCGGUCUCUCCAACCUGCGGUGAGUCCCAGCCACGCCAUCCACACCAACUGCCGUCCAGAUCUUGUCCAGCGUCUCCUCGUCAGUAGUUGCGCCCUCCAGGGACUCUUGAUCAUCAGGAGAGAGCAUCUCACAGAUGGAGGACAUUUCUGGCCAGGACAACCCCAGGGUAGUCACGGAUAGUCAGGAUAGUCAACUACUGGACCUGACUACUGACUCCAAGCUGCACAGCCUCUAUGGCGGCAUUAAAAUAGUCCAGCACACUCCGCCUAUCAAGACAACUACUGCCCUGAGAGGCCUGCCACUUGCUGGUACAGCUGGAGGAGGGACUGGCAGAUGACCCACAGAAGAAGGCAACCCUGGCAGCAAUAGAUUGAAUCGUGACAAAAUAAGAGAUAAUUGGAGGGCUGUGUGUGGUGAGCUCUGCAUUGUCUCUGAGGGCGACCCCCAGAGCCACACACCAACAGCAGGAGGAGGAGGGAAGGGCAUCCACCUCCUGCAUUACCAGGACAUCCUCCUCCUCCAGCAGCUGGCCAGGGCACAGGGCUGAGCAAAGUGGGAGUGGUGGUGGUGAUGGUAGAACUGAUAGUAGUAGUAAUAGCAAUGUUCAGUAUAGUAAUAAGAAUGAUAGUAGAGGUCUUGGAUUGUAUAUUUUUAGCAGUAUAGUAGUAGUAGUAGUAGUAGUACCAGCAUUUGUUGAAAUAUCCUGGUAAUUCUACUACUACUACUACUACUACUACUACUACUACUACUACUACUACUACUACUACUAUUUGCCAAGCCCUUUAUGCUUGUAAACAACUGAGAUGCAAACAAACACCUGGAACUGUGCACUCCCUUUAUUCAUCAAUCAUGCACACAAACAACAACUACUAACAGAUAAAACAACACAAUAAACAUGUCAUUUAAUAAUAAACAGCCAACAAUAACAACAGAACAAACUCUGUGACCAUUUCUUGCAAAUUGUGAAGGAAAACAAAUGGAAAAAGAAGGAAAACAAAGAUGAUGAUAAUGGUGCUCUUUCCACAGCAGGUGGUGACAGAAAAGGUGGCCAGCUUGCCCCUCCCUCCUGCCAGCCAGCUGCAGCAUGGGGGCGGCUGCCCUUCUGUCUGUCACCGGCCACCACACACAGCACACCGCCACAGCAAAGGCAGUGGCUGCAGUGAGAUUUACCAAGACACAAAGUCCAUGCACGGGUCCAGAAUGUAAAGAUGGAAACGUGUCCUGCAGGAGGGAGCAGCACUGUGGCAGGACCCCAGAGUUUGCUG